UAUCUCUGUCCAGGUGGAUGGUGGCCAGUCUCCUGAUCUCCUUGUAGGUGGUGCUGGCGUGGCUCUGUCCACUGAGGAGUCCACACAAGUCCAAGGGGAGGACCAGCUGACCAGUGGACCCAAAGAAAGAGUUACCCAGCGUCAACUAUUUGCCAAGCCAUGAGAAGGAAGAGGUUUUCCGAAAUUGUUCAUUGUGAAACAGUGCUUGUAAUGAAUCCACAUUUCUACUUAAUGCAAAGAGCUAUGUUUUCAAUACCGGCAUUCUUCCCAUCAACCCACUUGACUGUGAAACUUAACUAGCGUCUCUCCAGCCUCAUAGCUCCAUCCCAUCUCCUCCCGUCUGGCGUCAUUCCCUCUGAGCAGAGAAGGCCCACAGUGGAAAGAGCAGAGGACUUGGAAGCGGAACAACUUGGUUCAAGUCUCAGCUUGCACACUCACCAGCUGCACGA